GCUCCCUUAGCUCAGCGGUUUAGAGCAUUGUACUUAUGUGGAUACAGUUAUGCAAGGGUCACCAGUUCGAUUCUGGUAGGGAGCA
rfam:Fistulina hepatica ATCC 64428 unplaced genomic scaffold FISHEscaffold_456, whole genome shotgun sequence.